AUCUCUGCCUACUUCCACGAGUUCUAUCUGAAACUCAAAGCUCCCUGCAAUUUGGCAGGCGCCCGAUUGGUGGCGACCCGACUGCCGCUUGGAGCCGAUAGUAGAAGUUCGUAGUGGGUGAAGAUCCAUGAAACCGAAAUCCCAAUUUGUUUCAUGACACAAUAUCCACUGUACAUUUUUCUAAAUCUUUCUUCUUUUCUGCUUUUUUUUUUAAUUAAAAAAAUUAAAAAAUUAGGUUGGAUUUAUGAAAAAUAUUAAAAUUUGUGAAUGAAUAAAUGAGGGCACUCCAGUCAGACACGGGUGUUUGUUGCUAAAUCCAAUAACAAGCGACCUUUUGCAUGGUGCCUAGAAAUAGCUACUGUCACGAUUGGAGGAAAGAUGUUUUUUUUUCCACGCUUUCCUUCAAAUUUAAAGCAGCUAAAUCUUCAAAUUUUAUGAAUAAUUUGUUGGGUUUUGUGUUUUAAAUCUAAAUCUUGAUUCUUUGUUAGUAAAAACAUUCUGAAGAUUCAGAAGAUUUUAGCUUUUGGUGUUGCAUUUGAUGCAAUGUCGCUGAAAGAUAGACCUCUAAUUUGAUUAAUCGCUAUAUUUUAAUGAAUAAUUGUUGUUUGACUUUCUUAAUAUAUUAUUUUGAAAUUAAAUAAUUUUCUUGGGAAAUUUAAUAUCCUGAAUUAUUUGAAAUUGGGUAAUUAAUUUUUUACCGUCAAAUUUAAUGAAAUUUUAUUGUGUUAGUCAUCGAUUGAUUCAUUUACUAAAAAAAAAUAGGGGGUGUGCUAUCUACGCAUAUUUUUUGUUAUUUGAUUUUCUUCAAUUCAUCUGAUCCGACUAUCGAAAAUUAAUAGAAUGUGUAAAUAAUAGUGUGUGGAUGUCACAUCCUAAAGAAUUCUAAUUCACCUAGGAUAAUAAUCAGGUUGUCAAACUACAGGUUACUGAUUUUAACGAUGGAAUUAGUCGAUAAAAAUGUUUACCCUUAAAACUGAAUCACGUCCCGAGUAUUUGAAAUAUAUGGAAUGGUAGAUUAAUUUGUUGGUCCUUGAAGGAUUAAUUUACCCAAAAAAUAAAAAAUAAAAAAUAAUGAAAAAUGUUUGAAAAUUUUGAAUUUUAACUAUAAAGACAAAGUAAAAGUAAAAUGAAUAGUAUUAAGAUUGAUUUUUUUAGUGUAAAAAUGUGAUUUUUUAUUAAAAUGAAAAGUAUCAUAAGUUUUUCGUUAAAAGUUUCCAAAAAAGUAAAAAAAUAAGGGGUGUGUAACACACACCGUUUACUUCUUAUGCAUUUUUGUUGAUUUUUGUCAUUUUGAUUUUCUUCAAUUCAUUCGAUUCGAUGAUCAAAAAUUAGAAUGAUGUAUAAAAGGUACAAAAUGGUACGUGGAUGUCACACCCCAAAAACAAUUUAAGAAAUCUAUUUCAACUAGGAUAAUAAUCAGGUUGUCAAACUACAGGUUACUGAUUUUAACGAUGGUAUUGGUCGAUAAAAAUGUUCUGUCAUGGUGAAUUAACCAAAAAAAAUGUCGAUACGAUUAGAAAUCCUGUAAGUGAAUAAUAAGAUUGAACGAGGAUAUAGUGAAUGUGUUGGGAAGCUCUGUCCAUACGAAUCAACAGCAAGAACCGGUUUGAUGGUGCAUUGACUGCCGCUUGGAGCCGAUGUGAAAUUGCCAGUAGAAGAUAGCUUCAAAUGCUCUCUGCUUUCAUGCUACAAUUUUUGGCUACAUUCUAAACUACUCUAGUAUACGAAAUCGAUAAUUCAAACUAGUAUACAGGAUGGGGGAUGCGGACUCUGGUGCAAUGGGACGGGAACACUGAUAAUGUUUAAAUCCGGAGAUUUAAGUGACUGGAUUCGAUGCCUUGUUCAUUCAUCUGUUUGCAACUGCUAUUUCAGUGCCCUUACGCAGCUGUUUUUGUGUCGUUGCAGGUUGCGGAUUUGAGUGGUGAAUAUUUGAAGGAUUUGCUGCAUAUUUGUUUUUUGUGCUACAACUUUCUUGUAUUUUAAAACAAUGAAUGGAAUCAAAAUUGAGUGUCAACUAUGCACAUUUUGAGCAAGUAGCUAUUGUCAUAUAUGUUCAGUUUGACGCUUGAAA